rnacentral:ncRNA from 2 species
AAAAAACAAAUGGGGAGCUUGCGGCUGCAGGCUGAGAGUAGGCAAUGUGAAGCCUUGACCCACAACCUGAUUUGGGUAAUGCCAACGUAGGGAUAUAUCUGCUUUCUUUU